UACAGGGGGUGCAAACGUUGCUCGGAAUUAUUGGGCGUAAAGAGCGCGCAGGCGGUCGAAUAAGUCGAAUGUGAAAGCCCCCGGCUCAACUGGGGAGGGUCACGCGAUACUGAUCGACUCGAAGGCAGGAGAGGGUAGUGGAAUUCCCGGUGUAGUGGUGAAAUGCGUAGAUAUCGGGAGGAACACCAGUGGCGAAGGCGACUACCUGGCCUGUUCUUGACGCUGAGGCGCGAAAGCUAAGGGGAGCAAACGGGG
rnacentral:rRNA from 1 species